GUCGUCGAAAAGUAGAUGCUGGAAUAUGAGUAAAAACGUAUGUUUGAUUGACUGAUUGAUUCUUCUUACAAGGCCCUAGGGUCUAUAUUUAUACCCUGCUCAAAGAGCUACAACCAGACACGAUUAGAAUUCGAAUUCCAAAUUACACGGAAUCCGUAUACAAAACGAUGCAAAUAAUUAAGGAAAUAACAAAACUAUCCCUCGUAACAAACCGAAACUCCUCCACAUAACGACCGGCAGCUUCCAGACUCCUCCUUUGCAUCAUCGGCAGAUCCUUUGCCAUAGUCAUCGGCAGACUUUCUUAUCUAGCCAUCGGCACCAUAUUACUGCCUGUCACAUUCAACUUCUCCCUCA
rnacentral:lncRNA from 1 species